UACGAACGCUGGCGGCGUGCUUAACACAUGCAAGUCGAACGGAAAGGCCCUGCUUUUGUGGGGUGCUCGAGUGGCGAACGGGUGAGUAACACGUGAGUAACCUGCCCUUGACUUUGGGAUAACUUCAGGAAACUGGGGCUAAUACCGGAUAGGAGCUCCUGCUGCAUGGUGGGGGUUGGAAAGUUUCGGCGGUUGGGGAUGGACUCGCGGCUUAUCAGCUUGUUGGUGGGGUAGUGGCUUACCAAGGCUUUGACGGGUAGCCGGCCUGAGAGGGUGACCGGCCACAUUGGGACUGAGAUACGGCCCAGACUCCUACGGGAGGCAGCAGUGGGGAAUAUUGCACAAUGGGCGGAAGCCUGAUGCAGCAACGCCGCGUGCGGGAUGACGGCCUUCGGGUUGAAAACCGCUUUCGCCUGUGACGAAGCGUGAGUGACGGUAAUGGGUAAAGAAGCACCGGCUAACUACGUG
rnacentral:rRNA from 1 species